AAUAAAAAUAUAAAAUUAAUAAUUUUAAUUUUUAAAUUUGAACUUACAUUUCAAUUAAAAAUUUAAUAAAGUUUUAAAUAAAAAUAUUGGAUAUAAUUGAGACAUUUGUGGAACAGGCAUUCACUUCAUAUGAAUUCAAUUUUCAAUCCGACCUGAUUGGUUAGGGAAUUUUUAUUUUACUCAAAAAUCAAAAUUAGAAUGAAACUUCUGCGUAUCAAACACUCAUCUAUAAGGGCGAAUCUA
rnacentral:lncRNA from 1 species